UUUUUCCUAUAUUCUUUUCUCUCUCUGUCCCGUAUCUUCCACUUCUCUGUUUCCAUCCUUCCUUUCCUUUUCGGUUUUUUUUUUCUUCUUUUCCUCGCAUCAUCAAUUUUCAACCCCAAUUCAAACAUCACAAGAAUGAUAAUACAUCUAGGUAAAACUAUCGCAUAAAACAAAUGAUUUUGGGUAGCAUUUUGAGUUAGAGUUUGUGCUCUAAGAAAGGAGAAGAAUACCCAUACAUGGAAGGUGUGCUCUUUGGUGAUCCUUGAGAUUCGAUGGAAAUUGCUUUGGUGUUCAUUCCGGGAGGCAUUGCUAGGAAUGAAAUUGAUUAGCCAUAGUUAUUCCCAAGCAACUAAGUAGGAAGCUGCUAGUAGAUUCGAAGUUCAGUGGUGUCACUUUUUUGGUGGGCUACCUUGAUGAAUGUCUCCAUUGUUUAUGUACAUGUUGAGUCAAAGUAUCUGCAGCUAUUUGAAGUUUAGAAAUGUCUCAUUUUGAGUUGUGCAAAUAUGUAAAAAUGUCACUUUGAAAUUCUGGUUGAUGAUAAUAGUUUAUGAACAGGAUUUAGAUCUUCGUAAUGUUGAAAAUAUAGGGGUUGCU
rnacentral:lncRNA from 1 species